AAGACCUAUCAUAAGCACGGCCAGGAUAUGAGUCACCCCUUCAACAAAAAAACUAUUUCCUAUUACAUUUUAUAGCCACGUAACAAGAAACGAAACACGUGUGGUAAAAAGGUUUUUGUAUUUUUUAUUUUAGAAAAUCAUGACAAACAUCCUGUUUCGUGGAUUUGUCCGGUCCCGACUAACGUACAUGUGCAGGAUUUACAAAGAAAUUCGGUGCUGUGUGAUGUUUCGCACCAUUCAGCCAGAGAUAUUUGGGCCUUUGUCUAAUAACCUUUCGGUUUCAUCCGUUUCGUAAGUUCGUGAGUCACAAGUCACAAUAAUAAGCCCAGCCGAAAGACGAUCGUCACAAUCGUCGCUGUUGUCACGACAGAAAAACCUUUCCUUCGUGCAAACAACUCGAGAAAAGUCGGCCGAAGAAAAGAAUUUUCUAGACGGGCGAAGAAAAUGAAAAAAAAAAAAAAAAUUUAUUAUUAUUUGUCUUCUACCGAUAGUUUUGGCGGCGUGUGCUUCACGACAGUGAAAAAGAGAAGAACGUCUGACUCGUCAUUGUCACUCUUUUGAUUGGCCAUCGUCUAAAAUGCCACAAAAGUGUGUACCUCUUUACCUGUCAUUAACUCUCUGCAAGUACGUGCUUUCUAUACUAAACGGCAUUGUGCACAGUAGAGAAAUAAAAGAAGAAACAAACAAAGCCGGGCAGCCGAUAAGCCACGUAUUGUUAUUUGUGUGUCUUCGGCAGCUUUGGAAAAAAACAAACGGCAGUUUGUCGUAAGAUAAAAUGCCGCCUGCGAUGGAGAGAGCAACUAGCGUAUCAAUUUAUAUAGUUGAAGGAAAACGCCCACGCACGAAAGAUGGCCGGCGUUUUAUUUAUUUUUUUGGCGUCCACUUUUCUCGAUGCGCAGACGGGGCCGAAUGUAAGAGGGAGGCUGGUGAUGAUAAUCGGCGUGAGAUCAUGCAGACACAGCGGUGCGGCGCGUCCGCAUCUCUUAUACGACCAGAAACGGUUAGUUGUUUUAACCAGCGCCAUUAAAUGGCGCGGGCUUCUAUCUUUUUUUGGCGCUGUGUCAAAGCGGGCGGGGUUCUUUUUGCUCCUGCAGAGCUUCCGAUUCUAAAAGGAGGAGGAAAAAAAAAGUGCGUUCCAUCAUCCAGCAGCUGCGCUAACGUCGCCUACUAGUCGUAGACGCCAUACUAUUAGGAUUUUUAUCGAAAAAUGGGUGUUGAAAGCAGCUAAAGAAAUAAAAAGCUUCCGUCGUUUUUGUUUUUGAAUCUUUUCUUUUACGUUUGAUUUUUUUUGUUGUGCGUUUUUGAGGAAAAUGCGGACCUGGGCGCAGGUUUUUGAGUUGCGCACGGAACGAAACCGUAGUGAAUCGAUAUCUAGAAAACACCCUAUUUUUGAAGGCAAUUAUGCGUGGGUUUCGUUGUCCUUAUUGGCAAAUUACGAAGAGGAAAAAGGAGGAUCUCAUUUGAAUGAUUCGAUCUUUGUUUUUCGAUGGUUUUCUUUUAAAGAAAGGUUUAUGUUUCUUACUGUGUCUGGCCAUUAAUUCUCUUGUUUUUAGUGUCGUAUCAAGUGUCUUUUGAGCUGCGAUUAUCUGCAUCGAUUCGUCGGAAUGGGAAGCAACAACAAGGCCAGAUUUUUAUUUUUCGAAUAAGGAAAGAAAACGAUCGCCUAAAUGGGAAACCCGGCGAAAGAGACGGUCAAAAAACCGCGGGACCAACGAGCCCCAAAGUAGAUAUUAAAUACAUAAUGUAAAGAGAUAUACGAGUCAGAGAGUUUAAGACCUUAGUGGCUAUAUAGAAAUGGGAGGAGGAGCCCAUUAUGGCCGAUGAGGUCACUCGCUCUCAUCAUCAUUAACAGCAGCAGCAUCACGGCCCUUCAUUAGAGACCUAUAUCGACUUGGCGCCUCUCGCCUAACGGGUUAUAACACGCAAAAGAAAGGAAACAGGUAUACAAAAAAAAAAAAAAAAAAAAGGGAGAGGCUAAUUCAGCGAAAAGAAAAAGUCUCGUAUCAGUUCAUUAUGCAAGUUUUCCUCUUCCGUGAGUUGUCUUAUGCUCGAUUUGGGAUGUCCAAAGACAUACACGCAACAAGAAUACAGCAAUCUGCUACAUACGCAACAAUCUUCCAGGUAUUGUGUGUACGAUAUUUUUGGAAAGAUGAGGAAAUAAGAAUAGAAAUGCGCCACUAUGCGAUAGCGAUUCACAUCAAAACAAAUCGUUAGUGUGUAAUAUAAGUUUCUUUUUUCUUUUUAAGUUAUACAUAUUUUGCCCCGUUUAUUUUCUGUGUGUAAAGAUCGGAAAACCCCGACGGGCUUUGUAGAUCGACGAUGGCGAUGAUGAUGAUGGAGCCGUGCCCGUAUUUUUGUGUGUUGCCUUUCGGCUGCGAUAAUCCUUUCGGGACUGGGCAUUAGCAUCGAUGAACCAUUCGAAUAUAAUCAACACUACAAUGGCUAAGGCACGUAUCAUGAAUUUCACCUAUUCAAAAAUUAUGGAUGUGUUUCUCUUUUUUUUCUUCUUCUUCUUCUUCUCUCCCAGUUUCAAAAAGGAUCGACUAUACAAUCACGCCGUUUUUCUUCUCAUUGCCGCACACAACGGGAUUCUUCAAAACCUUUUCUCCCCAAUUGUGUGAUGGCGCAUUGAAAACAAAAACAAAAUCGAAUCGAAAGGAAUAACGUUUGCUUGUUCUUUUGGUUUCAAAAUUUCCUUGUGAAUUAUUAUCACGGUUAAAGUUGUUUUCGGGAAUAUAUUCGACACGUCUAUAACAGUCGACGCUGUAACGCUAUUGUUUCUCUGUGGGAGAGAAAUGAUAAACGCGAACGAUUUUCUAAUUCGGAACAAUUCCUUCUUUUCUUCGCCCUGGCCAUUUCCAUGGUGAUGAGCGUUCACGGGGCGAGAUGACGGCCUCGUGACUUUGCUGGCCUUUAUUUUAUUCAAGGUUUAUCCCACCGUAUAUACAAGGUGAUCGGCAGUCCGCAGUUGACAGCAAAUCAUCAACUCUGCGUGCAAUACUCACGUACCGCCCAUCACCACCGCCAGGUGUAUAGGAACAAGCGGCGAAGACUCGCCUUUCUUUCCUCCAUCCGUCCAAUUUCGAACGUUGGACGCCUCGACGUCUGGGCUAAUAAAUAUUCCUCGGAUACAAAUUAAAUACGCCAAAAUGGCCCGUGUUUUCUUAUGUUUUAUUUCCCAAUAGUUUUCCAGUCAGAAACUUUGUCAAGAUUUUUGCUGCUUGUUUUUUUUUUUUCAGUUGUCCCCGUGACGUGGCCAUUGUUUCAUUUUGUCAACUCCACGUCCAACGUAGACACAAGGAUACACACACAAAAAUAAAAGAAGAUCCCCCCUUUUUUUUUCAAGUUUUCGGCCGUCUCUCCCUUCUCUUUCGAGUUCCAUUCAGUUUGUCACUGUCCGUAGGGCUGCCGAUCUGGAAUCAAGAAUAAUGACGAGGUCUCCUAGGCAACAGGCCAACAACUGAAGAGGAAAAAAAAAGAAGAGACACACACAUACACGACUUGUUGCCCAUUGUUGCAUAUAGAGACGGACAGGAAUGAGAGAAGGUAAAAAAAAAAAAAGACGGAAAACUGUUCCUCCUUGGCGUAUAGAUCAGCUUUACGGAUUACGUGGAUGCUGUAGCAGCAGCAGAAGGAAAAUAUAAAAGAAUAGACGCAAUAAAGGGAAAAAUAAAAAUAUUUCAAAAGGAAAGAUGAAUAUCGUCCGAAAAAAGAAGAGAAGAAUGAACGCAAGCAGAGGGAGAGAGAGAGAGAAGAGCAAUGUAGGUGGAAAAUGUCCUAUACCACGAAAGAAGAAGAAGAGCCUGAGGAAUUCGGCGCGAUCCCGCAGUGCACACACGUUUCGGUUGUUGGUGUGCCCGGCGGGCAGAUCUUGCGGCUCAUCUCUACUUUUUUUUUUUUUUAAAUCUUUUUAAAAUGUUGUUUCGAAGUCGGGACUGAUGAAUUCAGAAAGCCCAUCUGGCAGUAUGGAGCAUCGACAACGACAAGACAAAACGAACAAUUUUUUGUGUGUGACUUUUUUUGGAAUCAACUGACGGUCUGGCCGUUCGCCUGCUGCCAAAUUCAGAGAUUCUCGUUGACAGACGCACCAAAACGAGAAAAGUUCUAAUUAGCAAAGACUAGCAACGAACAACCAUCUGAAAAAAAAAACAUUUCAGUUCGAACAUGGUAACUGCUGGUUACUAUCCGGGUCCCACUUAACAAUCGAAUCCAUGUCUGAGUGCAGAGCUGGUAUCCGGUCCAUCUAUCUAUCACUAAUUCCCUUGAAAAAAAACAUUAUUCAGUAGCAACAGAGAGGCGCCCGUCUAUAUGUAUACACACCAAAACUCGUUACAUAUGGAGUGUUGAGUGUGUUGGCUCAUUUCUCCACGAAUCGAUUGAAUAUGUAUGAAACAACUCAUUUGGCGCUGACGAAAAUCAAAAACACGAAAGGAAUUACAGAAAUGUUGUAUAGAGAAAUAGAUGGACUGCGAAAAUAAAUCGAUACAUAUAUAAUUAC